rnacentral:tRNA from 1 species
GGGAAUGUGGCUUAGUGGUAGAGUGCUUGCUUAGCAUGCAUGAAGCCCUGAGUUUAAUCCUCAGUACCA